UACGGAGGAUGCAAGCGUUGUCCGGAAUUAUUGGGCGUAAAGAGCUCGUAGGCGGUCUGUCGCGUCGAAUGUGAAAACCCGGGGCUCAACCCCGGGCCUGCAUUCGAUACGGGCAGACUAGAGUUCGGUAGGGGAGUCUGGAAUUCCUGGUGUAGCGGUGAAAUGCGCAGAUAUCAGGAGGAACACCGGUGGCGAAGGCGGGACUCUGGGCCGAUACUGACGCUGAGGCGCGAAAGCGUGGGGAGCAAACAGG
rnacentral:rRNA from 1 species